CGGACGGGUGAGUAACACGUGGAUAACCUACCUAUAAGACUGGGAUAACUUCGGGAAACCGGAGCUAAUACCGGAUAAUAUUUUGAACCGCAUGGUUCAAAAGUGAAAGACGGUCUUGCUGUCACUUAUAGAUGGAUCCGCGCUGCAUUAGCUAGUUGGUAAGGUAACGGCUUACCAAGGCGACGAUGCAUAGCCGACCUGAGAGGGUGAUCGGCCACACUGGAACUGAGACACGGUCCAG
rnacentral:rRNA from 1 species